rnacentral:rRNA from 1 species
AUACGGAGGGUCCAAGCGUUAUCCGGAUUCAUUGGGUUUAAAGGGUCCGCAGGCGGGAAAAUAAGUCAGUGGUGAAAGCCUACAGCUCAACUGUAGAACUGCCAUUGAAACUGUUUUUCUUGAGUAUAGAUGAAGUGGGCGGAAUAUAUCAUGUAGCGGUGAAAUGCAUAGAUAUGAUAUAGAACACCGAUUGCGAAGGCAGCUCGCUAAACUAUUACUGACGCUCAGGGACGAAAGCGUGGGGAGCGAACAGGAUUAGAAACCCCUGUAGUCC